GUCGUGGCGGUGGGGUAUGUUUUGUACGGGAUGAG
rnacentral:tRNA from 1 species